AAAGUAUAUAUAAGGAGUGCGGAAGGAUCCUUCAUGAAGGUAUUGAAAGCUGGGAAGAAGAGCACCAGCACUGAACUGACUAUUGAGGUAGAAAAGCCGUCCUCAGACAAAAGUGGCUUCAGUUUGUCAGCCUUUAUGAAUGAGCAGCUACACUUUAAUGAUGAAAGUGAUGUCAUUAGCGCACUGAAUUCCAUACUGCCUUACUUCUCGGAGGGACAUCUAGAAGAUGUAGAAUCGACGUGAUUACCAUUCAUUAACCUUCUGUUUUCAAGUGUGCAAGAGGGAGACAGUCCCCUGGGUCACUUGACAAACAACACACAGGAACCUUCUCUUAAGCCUGGAUCCAACAAUUCGACUUAUAAGAAUAAACUGAGGAAACUCUAUUUUCUGGAAAACUUGUUAGAUGCAGAAAUUCAGGAAAAAGUUGAUGAGGUGAAAGAGAAAGAAAAAACUGCCAUGCUUAUACCUUCCAGCCUUUUAGGUCCCAAGUUGAAACGUCAAAUCUUUCCAAAGAAAUUGGAAACUGCUCAAGGACAGGAAAAGAGCCUAGACAAGGUUGAGAAUGUCGGGAAAAAAAUGCUGAGAGUGAACAAGUUCAUCAAAGGCCUGAAGGGCAUCCAGAAAAGGCGCCUUAAAGAAAUGAGACGUCAGAAUACCCAGAGGAAACAGAAUACCCAGCCAUUUGUGGAGAAUGUGGCCGAAGAAAGACGGCUCGAGAGACCGUCCGCAGGAGGGGUGGAACAGCUUCACGUGGCACAGAGGCCCCGGAAAUUGGUGGGAAGCUCCUUCAAAACAGAGCCCUCAUUCAUACAGGAACACAAGGCAGCGGUCUCUUCUUUCCUGAAACAAUUCUCUCUGGGCAGGCCUGCUGCCUCCACCGCUCCCAAAUCCCCAGCUGAGGUGAAAAACAAAUCAAAAGACUUGACAUACCCCAUUUCUGUUUUAGAAGACGCAAAUGCUAGAGUUAGAAACAUGGAGGCUUUCAGACGAGCCCCACAUUCCAGAAAAAAAUACCUCUUCCAUAAAACUCACUCGCGUGUGGUUCACAGAACACCCAAGGCCAAACUGAAGCACAAGUCGAGAAGGGAAAGUUCACUCCGUAAUAGACUGAUGCUCGCAAAGAGGCCUCUGUUCUCUGCAGUCAGGAGCCUCAUAAAUUCCCCUUCACGGGAGGAUUUUUCAUCUCCCGGAGAACUGGGUCCUCAGGAAAAUCCUUUUCCAGAAUGAUUUACUCUUUCAAAACCUAAGAGAGAAAACACUACCGUAGAGAACUCUAAUGCACAAAAUAUCUUGGAAGAAAAUAUUUCUACAGGAAACACUACUCGGCCAGAACAAACCUUCCCUGAAUUCACAAGCCGUAAGAAUCUUUCCACGGCUAAUUCUACCAUUACUGCAGACAGCUCCGUGCCGCCGCUAAACAAGCCAACAAUUCGCAAUGGGAAUACUACAGUGUGGGCACUGACUUGCCCUCAGAGGCCACAGGCUUCACUGUGUCCAACCCCUCAUCCCCAGGUGAUCUAUAUGAGAUGCAGUUAAACCAGCGGCUACGGCCCCUCAUCCCCCACAAUGAUGUGAGAAGGCUCAUUUCUCACGUUAUCUGGACUUUGAAAAUGGACUGCUCUGAGACCCACGUGCAGCUGGCCUGUGCCAAGCUCAUCUCCAGGACAGGCUUCCUGAUGAAGCUUCUCAGCGAGCAGCAAGAGAUGAAGGUGUCCAAGGCAGAGUGGGAUAUGGACCAAUGGAAAAAUGAGAAUGACAUCAAUGAGAGCAGUGAAGCCCAGGGUGAACAGAAAGGGGCAGAUUCGAGGGAGAUUUAUUCUCAUAGAGCAGCAGUAGAGGAAAGUAAAGAAGGAAACUCAAGGUAAAUAUUAGUCUGGCAAUCAUUAAAGUAGAAUUUAGACGUAGAUUUUCAAACUCAUCUAUUUCAAUCCUCAUGUUUUACAGCCAGGAAAUCACCAAAAGCAGAAAGAAUAUUUGGCGUAACGCUUUGCCUGGAUCCAGCAAAAUUAGCUUCCCAGCCAAACCUGAGGGCUUCUUCCAAUCUCUGCUGGGUCGGAGAUGCUCCACAGAAAGUGACAAUCAGGAGGGCUUUUUCUGGAUAAGGCGGCCACUGUGGCUCAGGGACAUGUACAGACCUCUCAAUGCCACACGCCAGAAAAACAUGGCACAGAAGCUACACCACAAGGAUUCUUCUGAUGAGGAUGAGAUUUUCAACACGGAACCAGGGGAGUCCAGUGAAGCCGCAACAGAGAAGCCUCAGGCCACAGAUUCCACUGCCGAGGAGCUGGGCGACGAAAGUGAGACAGGGCGUGAGACUGUCACCGAGUGAGCCCCGUCCUGCCUCUGGCCGCCAACAAAGUUUAUUUUCUCAUACUGGCUUCUCAGCAUUGCUUGCGAAAUACUUAUUUUUCUCAUAUUAAAAUGUGUAAGUUC